rnacentral:rRNA from 1 species
GGUAAACGGACAGAACCCGUGAAUCCGGGCAGCAGAAUUCAGAAUUGACGGCGGCUUUGCGGUUGUCGUUAGCUCGAUAUUUCUGUUGCCAUGUACGGACGUUGCGACCCGUUUGGUGUCAGUCUACGAAGCAUACGCAAGUUCGUUGAUACGUGUUAACUUGUUGAUACAUAUUACGAGUGUGUGUUUUCUGGCUGACUUGCCAGACGGUACAAAAUGGUGUCUGUGAAGGCUCUAAGCUUUCAUAGUGCCGGUCUGCGACGAAUCUUC